rfam:Schizosaccharomyces pombe chromosome III, complete replicon
GCAUCUGUAGUCUAGUGGUUAUGAUUUCUGCUUUACACGCAGACGGUCCCAGGUUCGAUCCCUGGUAGAUGCA